GUGCUCACUUCUGUAGUACAUAUACUAACAAUUGGAGCAAUACAGAGAAGAUUAGCGUGGCCCCUGCGCAAAGAUGACAUGCAAAUUUGUGAAGCAUUCCACAUUAAA
rnacentral:snRNA from 1 species